AUGUCAGCACCAGCUGCAAGGGGGACAGCACAGGGUCCCCAGAGUGCUGCACAGGGCACCCCAAAGGGCUGCGUUGGGAUCCCCAGAGGUGGAGCGGUGGGACCACAGGGUGUUGGGGCUGUACCUGCAAAGGCCUUCUCACUGCCGGUGAUGACAAUAGCUCCCACCCGCCCGUCAGCCUCAAAGGUGUCAAGUGCGCACCGAAGCUCCUCCAUCAGUCCCUCACAGAGUGCGUUGAGCGCCUCGGGCCGCUGCAGCCGGAUCAGGCCCACGCUGCCGCCCGCCCCAGCCUUCUGCACCUGCAGGAAGCGGAACGGGGGCCCUGCGCGGCCACGUGACCGCGCGCCAUUUUGGGGCGGCCUUCACGCAGGGGGCGGUGGGCUCCGCGCUCCGUGGGGGCGGCUCCCGGUGCCCCUCGCCCUUGCCGGUGUCCCGCCCCGGCCCGCUGCCCGCUCCCAGAGCCCGGUGCCCCCCCCCGCAGCGCUCCUCCCCAGUGCCCGCUCCCGGCGACCCCUCGCUCACCGUCGCUGCACCCCCGCCCCACCAGAAGGGGGCGGAAUGCCGCCAGGAAUGCGCGGCACCGCGCGGCACCGGCGCAGACACCGGCACUGGUGCGGAGGAGGGCGCGCAGCGAGACCGCCAUUUCGCUGCGCGGCGCGGAGCAGCGCGGCCACGCCUCCGCCCCCCCGCGGCCCCACUGCCCCACGCCCAUUGGUCGGCUCUGCCGCGCCCCGCAGCGCGCCUGUGCCAUUGGUCGAUACGGGCUCCGUCCUGCCGCUCCCCACGCGUGUCCGCGCUUCACGUCGCCCGUGGGCGCGCAGCGGGCGCGCGGCCCCGUGCCCACCGCCCGGCGAGGAGAGAAGUGGAGCCGGUGGCAGCCCGGGGGCCGGCGAGCGCGGAGCAGACGUACCCACGCGGGACAUGGGAGCGGGAGGCGUGGGGGAUCGCUGCGCGGAUGCACGGCCCCCGCGCGGAGAGGCGUGUCAGCGGGAUGAGGCAGCGUGUGGCCUGCUGCUGGGUGCUGCUGCUGCUUGCUGCCACCUUCUGUCAACCGGCCGCCACCAAGGGCGGACGUGGGGGCUCCCGGGGCGCUGCACGCGGCAUGGCACGGGGGGCUGCCCGCAGCCGGCACAGGGGCCUGCCACACUAUGGCGGGGCCCUGCGUGUGGCUGCGGCAGCAGCAGCAGCUGGGGCAGCAGCAGGGGCCACACUGCACCAGGCCCAGGCAGAGACUGA
rnacentral:lncRNA from 1 species